UUAAGUUCAGCGGGUAUCCCUACCUAAUCCGAGGUCAAUCAUUAAAAGAUGGGGGGUUCUGGCGAGGGUCCAUCAGGUGUCUGUAGCGAGAGAGAUUACUACGCUUAGAGCCUGACAGCACUGCCACUGCUUUUAGAGGCUGCCUUGACAGCAGGCCUCAACACCAAGCUGAGCUUGAGGGGUGAUAAUGACGCUCGAAU
rnacentral:misc_RNA from 1 species